GGACUGACUAACCUUGAUUCCAUGUGGCAUUUCCUCUGACUUUCAAGACUCACUGUCCUAUUAUAGAAUCUCAGAUCGGCUCUAUGUUAACAUCAUUCUUGUGGGGACGACUUUUAAGCUGCCUGCCACUAGACCCAGGAGGAAACUCAAAAGAGCAGAGACGUGUAGCUUGUGAUCUUAUGAAGGUAGCCUCCUGAAAGGUCUCCCAAGGCAGACAGCUACAACUCUUGCUGACCAUAGGCUUUGACGGAAGAAAUUUUCACAUACUGAGAUGGCAGCUGGAGAUGCAGACAUCAUGGUCAUAUUCUAGGAUGGCAGCAGGACAAAGGAAACUUUAAAGAAGAUUUCCUAGAGG